GCCGGGGUGGUGGAAUUGGCAGACACACCAGCUUUAGGAGCUGGCGGGAGCAAUCCUGUGAAGGUUCGAGUCCUUUCCCCGGCACCA
rnacentral:tRNA from 1 species